rnacentral:rRNA from 1 species
UACGGGGGGGGCAAGCGUUGUUCGGAAUUACUGGGCGUAAAGGGCUCGUAGGCGGCCAACUAAGUCAUACGUGAAAUCCCUCGGCUUAACCGGGGAACUGCGUCUGAUACUGGAUGGCUUGAGUUCGGGAGAGGGAUGCGGAAUUCCAGGUGUAGCGGUGAAGUGCGUAGAUAUCUGGAGGAACACCGGUGGCGAAGGCGGCAUCCUGGACCGAUACUGACGCUGAUGAGCGAAAGCCAGGGGAGCAAACGGG